rnacentral:rRNA from 1 species
UACGGGGGGGGCAAGCGUUGUUCGGAAUUACUGGGCGUAAAGGGCUCGUAGGCGGCCAACUAAGUCGGGUGUGAAAUCCCCGGGCUCAACCUGGGAACUGCAUCCGAAACUGCCUUGCUAGAGUAUGGGAGAGGGAAGUGGAAUUUCCGGUGUAGCGGUGAAAUGCGUAGAUAUCGGAAGGAACAUCAGUGGCGAAGGCGACUUCCUGGACCAAUACUGACGCUCAGGUGCGAAAGCGUGGGGAGCAAACAGG